CACCGCGGUUAAACGAGAGGCCCCAGUUAAUAGUGUCACGGCGUAAGGGUGGUUAAGGAAAACACAACAAUAAAGCCAAAUGGCCCUUUGGCCGUCAUACGCUUCUAGGUGCCCGAAGCCCAGCCCCACGAAAGUAGCUUUAGUAAAGCCCACCUGACCCCACGAAAGCUGAGAAACAAACUGGGAUUAGAUACCCCACUAUGCUCAGCCAUAAACCUAGACGUCCAACUACAAUUAGACGUCCGCCUGGGUACUACGAGCAUUAGCUUGAAACCCAAAGGACCUGACGGUGCCUUAGACCCCCCUAGAGGAGCCUGUUCUAGAACCGAUAACCCCCGUUAAACCUCACCACUUCUAGCCACCCCAGCCUAUAUACCGCCGUCGUCAGCUUACCCUGUGAAGGCAAUAAAAGUAAGCAAAAUGGGCACAACCCAGAACGUCAGGUCGAGGUGUAGCGCACGAAGCGGGAAGAAAUGGGCUACAUUUUCUAUGAUAGAACACUACGGAUAAUGCAACAUGAAAUAGUGCUUGAAGGAGGAUUUAGUAGUAAAGAGGAAGCAGAGUGUCCUUUUGAACCCGGCUCUGAGGCGCGUACACACCGCCCGUCACUCUCCCCUGUCAAAACGCAACAAAGAUACAUAACAAUAAAGCACUGACAAGGGGAGGCAAGUCGUAACAUGGUAAGUGUACCGGAAGGUGCACUUGGAUUAAAUUCAGGGCGUGGCUGAG
rnacentral:rRNA from 1 species